CAGGAUCCACUCAGGAGAGUUGGGGCCAAGGUUAUCAAGGAGCUGAGUUCUGAGUUCAGGUGCCCACAUGGCAGUGGAAUGACGCCUCCUGGCCCUUCAGACCUUUGAGACAGCCGGGAGGCCCUAGAAAUCACCUCAAGUCUCCAGUCCAGGACACAGCUGCCUAGGGGAGUCCCAGGGAAAGGCGGCAGAGAUUGCAUGGCCUGCAAGGUGAUGGACUCCAACGUGACCACCUCGGAAACUACCAAACUCCAAGCCACUGGCAGUUCCAGCGCACAAAACCCCUUGCAGAGAGGAGGCGAGAGAAGCGAACUGGGAGGAGGCCUUCUGUUUGGCUACAAAGCGGAUGGACCACGUCCUCAGGUCUCCUGGAAGUUGUUGAAACACAGUGAGGGAGGUGACAUCACUCACAGGAUGGAAACAAAGAAGCAUUUACAGUAGACUCAUGCCGGCAUCCUUCAGACUGAAGUCCUAGGGCCCAGUUCUGUCCCUCCCCACCUCUCUCUCUCUCUCUCUCUCUCUCUCUCUCUCUCUCUCUCUCUCUCUCAUUUUUCUUUUCUUAGCUCAGGGAAUUUUAACCAGGAAUUGCUUUAAUAGGUAUAAUUAGGUGUAGUUUUCCCCUCCCCACCUCUCUCUCUCUCUCUCUCUCUCUCUCUCUCUCUCUCUCUCUCUCUCUCAUUUUUCUUUUCUUAGCU
rnacentral:lncRNA from 1 species